GCUGGCGGCAUGCUUAACACAUGCAAGUCGAACGGUAACAGCGGGAGCUUGCUCCCGGCUGACGAGUGGCGGACGGGUGAGUAAUGCAUAGGAAUCUGCCCAGUAGUGGGGGACAACCUGGGGAAACUCAGGCUAAUACCGCAUACGCCCUACGGGGGAAAGGCUUCGGCCGCUAUUGGAUGAGCCUAUGUCUGAUUAGCUUGUUGGUAGGGUAACGGCCUACCAAGGCGACGAUCAGUAGCUGGUCUGAGAGGACGAUCAGCCACACUGGGACUGAGACACGGCCCAGACUCCUACGGGAGGCAGCAGUGGGGAAUAUUGCACAAUGGGCGAAAGCCUGAUGCAGCAAUGCCGCGUGUGUGAAGAAGGCCUGCGGGUUGUAAAGCACUUUCAGUGGGGAGGAUU
rnacentral:rRNA from 1 species